CCGGGCACUCUGGAUGGACUGCCGGCGACAAGCCGGAGGAAGUGGGAUGACGUCAAGUCAUCAUGGCCCUUAUGUCCAGGGCGACACACGUGCUACAAUGGCCGGCACAGCGGGAAGCAGGGGGCGACCUUGAGCGGAUCCCUCAAAGCCGGUCUCAGUUCGGAUUGCAGUCUGCAACUCGACUGCAUGAAGUUGGAAUCGCUAGUAAUCGUGGAUCAGCCAAGCCGCGGUGAAUACGUUCCCGGGCCUU
rnacentral:rRNA from 1 species